GUGGAAGUAGUUUUAAAUAAAACAUUUGCUUUGCAAGUAAAAUAUCUAGAUUAAUAACUCUAGUUUCUACA
rnacentral:tRNA from 1 species